GGGUUGUGAGGUUAAGCGACUAAGCGUACACGGUGGAUGCCCUGGCAGUCAGAGGCGAUGAAGGGCGUGCUAAUCUGCGAUAAGCGCCGGUAAGGUGAUAUGAACCGUUAUAACCGGCGAUACCCGAAUGGGGAAACCCAGUGUGACUCGUCACACUAUCAUUAACUGAAUCCAUAGGUUAAUGAGGCGAACCGGGGGAACUGAAACAUCUAAGUACCCCGAGGAAAAGAAAUCAACCGAGAUUCCCCCAGUAGCGGCGAGCGAACGGGGAGGAGCCCAGAGCCUGAAUCAGCAUGUGUGUUAGUGGAAGCGUCUGGAAAGGCGCGCGAUACAGGGUGACAGCCCCGUACACAAAAGCGCAUGUGCUGUGAGCUCGAUGAGUAGGGCGGGACACGUGGUAUCCUGUCUGAAUAUGGGGGGACCAUCCUCCAAGGCUAAAUACUCCUGACUGACCGAUAGUGAACCAGUACCGUGAGGGAAAGGCGAAAAGAACCCCGGCGAGGGGAGUGAAAAAGAACCUGAAACCGUGUACGUACAAGCAGUGGGAGCCCCACCACCAAAGCAUUCUCUGGUGUUGAAGGCCCUGCAAAGCAGCAUCGCGGUGGCGGAGCGUCGUUUGCGACGCCCAACACACAAAACAAGCGGUGAAUGCUUUGGGGUGGGGUGACUGCGUACCUUUUGUAUAAUGGGUCAGCGACUUAUAUUCUGUAGCAAGGUUAACCGAAUAGGGGAGCCGGAGGGAAACCGAGUCUUAAUUGGGCGUUAAGUUGCAGGGUAUAGACCCGAAACCCGGUGAUCUAGCCAUGGGCAGGUUGAAGGUUGGGUAACACUAACUGGAGGACCGAACCGACUAAUGUUGAAAAAUUAGCGGAUGACCUGUGGCUGGGGUGAAAGGCCAAUCAAACCGGGAGAUAGCUGGUUCUCCCCGAAAGCUAUUUAGGUAGCGCCUCGUGAAUUCAUCUCCGGGGGUAGAGCACUGUUUCGGCUAGGGGGCCAUCCCGGCUUACCAACCCGAUGCAAACUGCGAAUACCGGAGAAUGUUAUCACGGGAGACACACGGCGGGUGCUAACGUCCGUCGUGAAGAGGGAAACAACCCAGACCGCCAGCUAAGGUCCCAAAGUCAUGGUUAAGUGGGAAACGAUGUGGGAAGGCCCAGACAGCCAGGAUGUUGGCUUAGAAGCAGCCAUCAUUUAAAGAAAGCGUAAUAGCUCACUGGUCGAGUCGGCCUGCGCGGAAGAUGUAACGGGGCUAAACCAUGCACCGAAGCUGCGGCAGCGACGCUGAUGCGUUGUUGGGUAGGGGAGCGUUCUGUAAGCCUGUGAAGGUGUGUCGUGAGGCAUGCUGGAGGUAUCAGAAGUGCGAAUGCUGACAUAAGUAACGAUAAAGCGGGUGAAAAGCCCGCUCGCCGGAAGACCAAGGGUUCCUGUCCAACGUUAAUCGGGGCAGGGUGAGUCGACCCCUAAGGCGAGGCCGAAAGGCGUAGUCGAUGGGAAACGGGUUAAUAUUCCCGUACUUGGUGUUACUGCGAAGGGGACGGAGAAGGCUAUGUUGGCCGGGCGACGGUUGUCCCGGUUUAAGCGUGUAGGUGUGUGUUCCGUAAAUCCGGUUCACUUUAACACUGAGGCGUGACGACGAGGCACUACGGUGCUGAAGCAACAAAUGCCCUGCUUCCGUGAAAAGCCUCUAAGCAUCAGGUAACACGAAAUCGUACCCCAAACCGACACAGGUGGUCAGGUAGAGAAUACCAAGGCGCUUGAGAGAACUCGGGUGAAGGAACUAGGCAAAAUGGUGCCGUAACUUCGGGAGAAGGCACGCUGACACGUAGGUGAAGUGAUUUACUCAUGGAGCUGAAGUCAGUCGAAGAUACCAGCUGGCUGCAACUGUUUAUUAAAACACAGCACUGUGCAAACACGAAAGUGGACGUAUACGGUGUGACGCCUGCCCGGUGCCGGAAGGUUAAUUGAUGGGGUCAGCGCAAGCGAAGCUCCUGAUCGAAGCCCCGGUAAACGGCGGCCGUAACUAUAACGGUCCUAAGGUAGCGAAAUUCCUUGUCGGGUAAGUUCCGACCUGCACGAAUGGCGUAAUGAUGGCGAGGCUGUCUCCACCCGAGACUCAGUGAAAUUGAACUCGCUGUGAAGAUGCAGUGUACCCGCGGCAAGACGGAAAGACCCCGUGAACCUUUACUAUAGCUUGACACUGAACAUUGAGCCUUGAUGUGUAGGAUAGGUGGGAGGCUUUGAAGUGUGGACGCCAGUCUGCAUGGAGCCGACCUUGAAAUACCACCCUUUAAUGUUUGAUGUUCUAACGUGGACCCGUAAUCCGGGUUGCGGACAGUGUCUGGUGGGUAGUUUGACUGGGGCGGUCUCCUCCUAAAGAGUAACGGAGGAGCACGAAGGUUGGCUAAUCUGGUCGGACAUCAGGAGGUUAGUGCAAUGGCAUAAGCCAGCUUGACUGCGAGCGUGACGGCGCGAGCAGGUGCGAAAGCAGGUCAUAGUGAUCCGGUGGUUCUGAAUGGAAGGGCCAUCGCUCAACGGAUAAAAGGUACUCCGGGGAUAACAGGCUGAUACCGCCCAAGAGUUCAUAUCGACGGCGGUGUUUGGCACCUCGAUGUCGGCUCAUCACAUCCCGGGCUGAAGUAGGUCCCAAGGGUAUGGCUGUUCGCCAUUUAAAGUGGUACGCGAGCUGGGUUUAGAACGUCGUGAGACAGUUCGGUCCCUAUCUGCCGUGGGCGCUGGAGAACUGAGGGGGGCUGCUCCUAGUACGAGAGGACCGGAGUGGACGCAUCACUGGUGUUCGGGUUGUCAUGCCAAUGGCACUGCCCGGUAGCUAAAUGCGGAAGAGAUAAGUGCUGAAAGCAUCUAAGCACGAAACUUGCCCCGAGAUGAGUUCUCCCUGAGACUUUAGGUCUCCUGAAGGAACGUUGAAGACGACGACGUUGAUAGGCCGGGUGUGUAAGCGCAGCGAUGCGUUGAGCUAACCGGUACUAAUGAACCGUGAGGCUUAACCUUACAACGCCGAAG
rnacentral:rRNA from 1 species